GAUGAACGCUAGCUACAGGCUUAACACAUGCAAGUCGAGGGGAAACGAUAUUGGAAGCUUGCUUCCGAUAGGCGUCGACCGGCGCACGGGUGAGUAACGCGUAUCCAACCUGCCCAUCACUUGGGGAUAACCUUGCGAAAGUAAGACUAAUACCCAAUGACGUCUCUAGAAGACAUCUGAAAGAGAUUAAAGAUUUAUCGGUGAUGGAUGGGGAUGCGUCUGAUUAGCUUGUUGGCGGGGUAACAGCCCACCAAGGCGACGAUCAGUAGGGGUUCUGAGAGGAAGGUCCCCCACAUUGGAACUGAGACACGGUCCAAACUCAUACGGGAGGCAGCAGUGAGGAAUAUUGGUCAAUGGACGAGAGUCUGAACCAGCCAAGUAGCGUGCAGGAAGACGGCCCUAUGGGUUGUAAACUGCUUUUAUAAGGGAAUAAAGUGAGUCUCGUGAGACUUUUUGCAUGUACCUUAUGAAUAAGGACCGGCUAAUUCCGUGCCAGCCGCCGCCGUAAAAC
rnacentral:rRNA from 1 species